rnacentral:lncRNA from 1 species
AGCUUACAAAAUCUGCAAUUUGAUGUGUUUUGUGAAUUUUCUAGUUGUUAAGAAUGAAAAUUUUGUUGGGUUUUGAUGGAUUUUCUAGAAUGGGAAUUUUGAUGGAUUUUUUAGUUGUUAAGAAUGGAAAUUUUGAUGGAUUUUAUGAAUUAUGAUGUCGGGAACCAACAUUUCUAGGGUUCGAUUCUUUUUUAAAAGAUUUGGUAGAAAUAAGUUUUUAAUGCAUGCUUUGGUCAACGAUUUGGCUGAAAGUAUUUCUUCAAAGUUUUGUGCUAG